rnacentral:snoRNA from 1 species
AUGAUGCCGAACCGUGUGCCUCUGACACCUCUUCCGAUAACAACACGUGACGAGUAAGCACUUGAUGCAGUUAUCCCUGGCUGAC